UACAGGGGGGGCAAGCGUUGUUCGGAAUUACUGGGCGUAAAGGGCUCGUAGGUGGCCAACUAAGUCAGACGUGAAAUCCCUCAGCUUAACUGGGGAACUGCGUCUGAUACUGGAUGGCUUGAGUUUGGGAGAGGGAUGCGGAAUUCCAGGUGUAGCGGUGAAAUGCGUAGAUAUCUGGAGGAACACCGGUGGCGAAGGCGGCAUCCUGGACCAAUACUGACACUGAGGAGCGAAAGCCAGGGGAGCAAACGGG
rnacentral:rRNA from 1 species